rnacentral:rRNA from 1 species
UCGGGAAUUUUGGGCAAUGGGCGAAAGCCUGACCCAGCAACGCCGCGUGAAGGAUGAAGUAUUUCGGUAUGUAAACUUCGAAAGAAUAGGAAGAAUAAAUGACGGUACUAUUUAUAAGGUCCGGCUAACUACGUGCCAGCAGCCGCGGUAAUACGUAGGGACCAAGCGUUGUUCGGAUUUACUGGGCGUAAAGGGCGCGUAGGCGGCAAUUCAAGUCAUCUGUGAAAUCUCCGGGCUUAACUCGGAACGGUCAGAUGAUACUGCUUUGCUAGAGUGCAGAAGGGGCAAUCGGAAUUCUUGGUGUAGCGGUGAAAUGCGUAGAUAUCAAGAGGAACACCUGAGGUGAAGACGGGUUGCUGGGCUGACACUGACGCUGAGGCGCGAAAGCAUGGGGAGCAAACAGGAUUAGAUACCCAUGUAGUCCCUGAGCGGGCUGGCAAGGCGCAU